rnacentral:rRNA from 1 species
UACGUAGGGGGCAAGCGUUGUCCGGAAUCAUUGGGCGUAAAGAGCGUGUAGGCGGCCCGGUAAGUCCGCUGUGAAAGUCCAGGGCUCAACCCUGGGAUGCCGGUGGAUACUGUCGGGCUCGAGUCCGGAAGAGGAGUGUGGAAUUCCUGGUGUAGCGGUGGAAUGCGCAGAUAUCAGGAGGAACACCAAUGGCGAAGGCAGCACUCUGGGACGUGACUGACGCUGAGACGCGAAAGCGUGGGGAGGAAACAGG